rnacentral:rRNA from 1 species
GAUGAACGCUGGCGGCGUGCCUAAUACAUGCAAGUCGAGCGAACAGACGAGGAGCUUGCUCCUCUGACGUUAGCGGCGGACGGGUGAGUAACACGUGGAUAACCUACCUAUAAGACUGGGAUAACUUCGGGAAACCGGAUCUAAUACCGGAUAAUAUAUUGAACCGCAUGGUUCAAUAGUGAAAGACGGUUUUGCUGUCACUUAUAGAUGGAUCCGCGCCGCAUUAGCUAGUUGGUAAGGUAACGGCUUACCAAGGCGACGAUGCGUAGCCGACCUGAGAGGGUGAUCAGCCACACUGGAACUGAGACACGGUCCAGACUCCUACGGGAGGCAGCAGUAGGGAAUCUUCCGCAAUGGGCGAAAGCCUGACGGAGCCACGCCGCGUGAGUGAUGAAGGUCUUCGGAUCGUAAAACUCUGUUAUUAGGGAAGAACAAAUGUGUAAGUAACUAUGCACGUCUUGACGGUACCUAAUCAGAAAGCCACGGCUAACUACGUG